rnacentral:rRNA from 1 species
UACGGAGGGUGCAAGCGUUGUCCGGAUUUAUUGGGUUUAAAGGGUGCGUAGGCGGCUUAUUAAGUCAGGGGUGAAAGACUAUUGCUUAACAAUGGCAGUGCCUUUGAUACUGAUAAGCUUGAGUACAGCUGAGGCAGAUGGAACGGGUGGUGUAGCGGUGAAAUGCAUAGAUACCAUCCAGAACACCGAUUGCGAAGGCAGUCUGCUAAACUGUAACUGACGCUGAGGCACGAAAGCGUGGGGAUCGAACAGG